GGGUGUGAAAGUAAAAAGACUUGAACUAUAUCUAUCUACACAUGGCGCAUGGGCUUCAAAAUUGGGGUGUGAGAAGCAUUUUCGUGACAGGCCCAUGAUGUAUGUUUUGCUUGAUCCAAUUUCCAUUUUAUUCUCAAACUUAUUAUUAACAAAAAGAAACAACAAAUAAAAAAUAUAUAAAAAAUAGAAGAAAAUAAGGAAGGGGCCAAAUUUAGGGUUACCUUGCGCCGUUUCAGAUGUUCACUCUCUUCUUCCUUCUUCACAAACGCAACGGCGACGGCGCGGUGGAGAAGUUCAUCUUCUCCGACGAAUCUCUCCGUCUCUUGUCACGUGAACGGCGGCGGAAGACUUCUCCGUCGAGCCUCACAAUCUUCUUCUCCGACGAAGCUCUCGGACUACUCCUAUCUCCGUCGUCGUGCCAACGCGGUCUCUUGUUCCGUUAAAAUCUUCUCUCAAUCGACUCAAUCUUGCUCUCUCGUUCUCAGAUCCGAUUCGAAACUAACGAAGAUUUUCCGGUACACCUUCAACAGAGGAACUCGCUCAGGUGAAGCCGGGAUGCGUUAUUGUUGAUGAUGUGAUGAAGGUGAUGCGAUGGAAGUUGGAGAUGUGAUCCUCCUACCGAAGAUGAAGUGGUAGCGAUUGAAGCAGAGUGAUGGUGAUUUGAAGAUGAUGAAAAAUGGUGAUGAAAUGGUGAUGAGUUCUGAGAGUGCUGAAGAUUUAUGAGCAAUGGCUAAGGAUGAAUUUUGAUGGAUGGUGAAGAUGGAAGUGGUGGAGUUUCAAGAUGAAAGUGAAUUGUCUAGAGCAACAAUGGUGGAGGAGAUUCUGAUUCAUAGCAGCCCGGUGUGUUGGGAUGACUUGAAGAUGAAUGAAAGGCUUGAGGCGGCAUUACGGAAUUACGGAAUUAAGGAGUCGGCGUGCCGAAUACUUGAAACACUUCCUUUUGUAGAAUAUGAUUUGGAAUGGAGAUUAGGAAUACUGAUGUUUAGUAUAAACUUGUGUAUUUUUGACUUUGAAAUGGAUGUACAUGACAUGAUAUGUAUUUUUUGUUGACUGUUUCAAAGGAUUCUGAAUUGUAUGAACUGAUUUUUAUGGACCCCAA